rnacentral:lncRNA from 1 species
AAAACACAAAAAAAAAAAAAAAUCCCAUCAUUUUCUAUUUAGUUUCAAAAAAACCUGUCCCUAUUCUUUUGUUUCUCUAAAGUUGUGAUUGAAUAACAAGAGGAGAGGGAAACAAAAAAGACAAAAAAAAUCCAAAAAAAAGGGAAGAAAACAAAAAAAAACAAGAAGAGGUAGGGUUAGGGUUUUCGUCGAUGGCGCAGAUUCAGGUUCAGCAUCAGCCGCCGGUUUCCGGGCCAAACGGCGUCGCUCCAGGACCCGGAGGAGCGCAGUUCAUGCCAACGUCGCUCUAUGUUGGGGAUCUUGAUGUUAC